UUGUUGAUGUCGUGGGGCCUGAUGUGUGGUUCAAGUGAUGGGGUGACACAGUGUAGUAGCCAUGCCGCUUAGUGGAUUGUUGGUGUAAGCGUGUGAGGUGGUGUGUAGGCAAAUCCGCACACCGAGUAAGCCUGAGGCGUGAUGCGUAGCCCUUGUUGGGUGAAGUUGGUGAUCUAGUACUGUCGAGAAAAGCCUCUAGCGAUGUGGAUGUAUGGCCCGUACCCUAAACCGACACAGGUGGUCAGGUUGAAAAUACUAAGGCGUUCGGGUGAACUGUGGUUAAGGAACUCGGCAAAAUGCCCCCGUAACUUCGGGAGAAGGGGGACCACACGACUUAAGCCAACCUUGCGUUGGUGGUGGGUUGUGGGGUCGCAGAGAAUAGAGGGAAGCGACUGUUUAUCAAAAACACAGGUCCAUGCGAAGACGUUAAGUUGAUGUAUAUGGACUGACGCCUGCCCGGUGCUGGAAGGUUAAGAGGACCGGUUAGUAGUCUUUGACUGCGAAGCUGAGAAUUUAAGCCCCAGUAAACGGCGGUGGUAACUAUAACCAUCCUAAGGUAGCGAAAUUCCUUGUCGGGUAAGUUCCGACCUGCACGAAUGGCGUAACGACUUCUCUGCUGUCUCAACCACAGGCCCGGUGAAAUUGCACUACGAGUAAAGAUGCUCGUUACGCGCGGCAGGACGAAAAGACCCCGGGACCUUCACUAUAGCUUGGUAUUGGUGUUCGGUUCGGUUUGUGUAGGAUAGGUGGGAGACUGUGAUGCAUGCACGCCAGUGUGUGUGGAGUCGUUGUUGAAAUACCACUCUGAUCGGAUUGGAUGUCUAACCUUGGCCCAUGAUCUGGGUUGGGGACAGUGCCUGGUGGGUAGUUUAACUGGGGCGGUUGCCUCCCAAAAUGUAACGGAGGCGCCCAAAGGUUCCCUCAGCCUGGUUGGCAAUCAGGUGGUGAGUGUAAGUGCACAAGGGAGCUUGACUGUGAGACAGACAUGUCGAACAGGGACGAAAGUCGGGACUAGUGAUCCGGCACCUACUUGUGGAUGUGGUGUCGCUCAACGGAUAAAAGGUACCCCGGGGAUAACAGGCUGAUCUUCCCCAAGAGUCCAUAUCGACGGGAUGGUUUGGCACCUCGAUGUCGGCUCGUCGCAUCCUGGGGCUGGAGUAGGUCCCAAGGGUUGGGCUGUUCGCCCAUUAAAGCGGCACGCGAGCUGGGUUCAGAACGUCGUGAGACAGUUCGGUCUCUAUCCGCCGCGCGCGUUGAAACUUGAAGAAGGCUGUCCCUAGUACGAGAGGACCGGGACGGACGUACCUCUAGUGUGCCAGUUGUUCCGCCAGGAGCAUCGCUGGUUGGCUACGUACGGAAGGGAUAACCGCUGAAAGCAUCUAAGCGGGAAGCCUGUUUUAAGAUGAGGUUUCAUUUGAGGUCCCCCAAAGACGAUGGGGUUGAUAGGCCAGACCUGGACGCACCGCAAGGUGUGAAGGCUACUGGUACUAAUAGACCAAAACAAACACAC
rnacentral:rRNA from 1 species